rnacentral:rRNA from 1 species
GACGAACGCUGGCGGCGUGCUUAACACAUGCAAGUCGAACGAGACGAUUUAGAAGCUUGCUUUUAUUGAGUCGAGUGGCAAACGGGUGAGUAACGCGUAGACAACCUGCCGCAAAGAUGGGGACAACAGUCCGAAAGGACUGCUAAUACCGAAUGUUGUAUCUCCUCCGCAUGGAAGAGAUAUUAAAGAUGGCCUCUACUUGUAAGCUAUCGCUUUGCGAUGGGUCUGCGUCUGAUUAGCUAGUUGUGGGGCAACGGCCUACCAAGGCGACGAUCAGUAGCCGGUCUGAGAGGAUGAACGGCCACAUUGGAACUGAGACACGGUCCAGACUCCUA